AUACAGAGGGGGCAAGCGUUGUUCGGAAUUACUGGGCGUAAAGGGCGCGUAGGCGGCCUGCUAAGUCGAACGUGAAAUCCCUGGGCUCAACCCAGGAACUGCGUCCGAUACUGGUUGGCUUGAAUCCGGGAGAGGGAUGCGGAAUUCCAGGUGUAGCGGUGAAAUGCGUAGAUAUCUGGAGGAACACCGGUGGCGAAGGCGGCAUCCUGGACCGGCAUUGACGCUGAGGCGCGAAAGCCAGGGGAGCAAACGGGAUUAGAUACCCCGGUAGUCCUGGCCCUAAACGAUGAAUGCUUGGUGUGGCGGGUAUCGAGCCCUGCCGUGCCGAAGCUAACGCAUUAAGCAUUCCGCCUGGGGAGUACGGUCGCAAGGCUGAA
rnacentral:rRNA from 1 species